GCCUUCCUAUCUCUACCUUUCUUCUCUCCUUAUCUUCCUUAUAUCUCUUCCUAGGCCUUUAUCCUAAAUAUUAGAAAAUAUAUCCCAAUACCAAUCAUCUAGAUUGUAGAUAAUUGUGCUCCAUGCAAGUAUAUAAAUUAUAAAAUGAUAAAUAUUAUCUGACAAGAUUCAUCAUAAGGAAUACAUCUUCCAAAAUAGAACUCAUAUAUUA
rnacentral:lncRNA from 1 species